GACGAACGCUGGCGGCGUGCUUAACACAUGCAAGUCGAACGGAAAGGCCCUUCGGGGUACUCGAGUGGCGAACGGGUGAGUAGCACGUGGGUGAUCUGCCCUGCACUUUGGUAUAAGCCUGGGAAACUGGGUCUAAUACCGAAUAGGACCACGCGCUUCAUGGUGUGUGGUGGAAAGCUUUUGCGGUGUGGGAUGGGCCCGCGGCCUAUCAGCUUGUUGGUGGGGUAAUGGCCUACCAAGGCGACGACGGGUAGCCGGCCUGAGAGGGUGACCGGCCACACUGGGACUACGAUACGGCGCAGACUGCUACGGGAGGCAGCAGUGGGGAAUAUUGCACAAUGGGCGCAAGCCUGAUGCAGCGACGCCGCGUGAGGGAUGACGGCCUUCGGGUUGUAAACCUCUUUCAAUAGGGACGAAGCGCAAGUGACGGUACCUAUAGAAGAAGCACCGGCCAACUACGUG
rnacentral:rRNA from 1 species